AUAUAUUCUUGGGUUUUUAACACACUAACUUGCUAUAUAAUGACUAUUUCAAGCAAUUAUGCUUAUGGGGUUAUUUUAUAUAUUUAAAACAAAAUUCCAGAUUUAAUUACCUAUUUCAAAGUUGCUGUAAUUUGAUAUAAAACACUAUAUUUUCAUAAUUCUAACAUGUAAACUUAAAGUUGGGAUGUUAUAUUACUAACUUUGAUUUUUGGGGACAAUCUAAAGACUUUGUUUUGGUAAUUUAAGAGGUUUUAAAGUAGUUUAGUAUUGCUGUAAUUUUGAUUGCUUUGGUAUUGAUUUAUUCCUAAUUGUUUGGUUUAGGAGAGGACUUCGUAGAAGGCGACUUCUAGUUUUAAAGUGGCCAACCGGAUUGUUUACACAAGGUUAUAUACAGGUUUCUCACAGGUUUUUAAGAGAGAAUUAUUGGGGUGUUACACAAUGUUUGUCACAUCAAGAUUCAGCAAGCAGUUGAUAAGCUUCCUUUGAUGCCGAUUGUAACUGUGUUUAUGAAGGCCUUCUUACUAAUGAUAUUGGGACUUCUUACUAAUGAUGUUGGGACUGCUGAUAUGUCCCACUACAAAUGGUCAGAGCUUGGCAACUACGUUAUUGCAUUCUGUUUCAAUAGGGGCUGCUGCACCGGAUUUCGAUUGGUGUACAUAUGCACAUAGUUGGCCGAUGACUUGUGUCAGAGAUUUUAGGAAGAGGCUACACAACAAAGGGUACUCGGCUGCUGGUGGUGGAUGUGUCCUAUUCCUUCAGGUCUUGUUUUCCUCUAUAUGUUAAUUACAAUUAUUAUGAAAGCAAUAUAUGUCUUGAAAUGUGAGAUUGGGUUUAUGGCAGUCUUGGUAUCAUUUUUGGUUUGUUGAUUUGCAUAUGAUUGAAAUAAAGGUUGUAGUCCAUAUUAGUUUUGCUUAUGAAAUUGCAUAUUUGCAUAUCAUGUUAGAUGUAUAGAGUAGGUAGACUGUGCUUUAAGGUGGUGAUGCACUUGGUUUUAAUUGAAAGACAUAUGAGAAUCUUUUGUAGUGGGGAUGCACUUUAGGUCUUUUUACUAAACCUUUUUUUUCGUUUUUUGUUUUCUUUAUGCAUUUGUUGUGUAGAUAUUUUACUUGGACCACCUAGCAAUGCCUCCUUUGAGCUGCGGGGGUUAUGCCAAGAUCGGUGGUGUGGACUGAGAAGAAACUGCCAGCUGCUAUUCAAGCUGAUUUGCUCCCUUCCCUAAACUAUGGGAAACAGAAGGUGAAUGUGUUAUUUUGUUAUAUACAAUAUUUUGGAUCCUUUUUAAAUUCCCUUAAAAUCAAUUUAGACGGUUGAUGUUGCGUACGAGGAACGACAUCCUUUGAUUGGAAGGGAUUCAUUCGAAUCGUUAGAAGUCAACAUUGCAAAUGAGAAGAGGAUGCUGAAAGCCUGCAACCAAAGCAUACCUACAUUAAUGAAGCCUAUGGUUGAGAACAUGGAGCAAAAGAUGGAGUAGAUGCUGAAAGCUCAUAACCACAUCAUACCUACUUUGAGGAAUGCACCGAAGGAAAGGUCACUUGUUCACAAGUCCCCUGUUGUAAGUAAGGGUGAUGUGAGUACUGGUAGCUCUUCAAUCAAGGAGCGGGAGUUCGAAUCACAUAAUGUGAAUAGGAAAUCUCUGUCUGAUACUUUCAUGAAGAUAGAUGAUGUUAUCGAUGUUGGGGAUACAACGAUGAAAGUUGUAGAUGUGAUUGAGGGAGUCACAUAAAAGGUGUGUUAUGAUUUUUGGGACAUGAAAGAGGUGUAAGGUGUGGUUGAAGGACGUGCUGGAGGAGGGGUUGUAGGGGUUGCUGCUUGAGAAGGGGUUGGAGGGGUUGCUGCUGGAGGAGGGGUUGAUGAGGGCAAUGGUGAAAGCAGGGAAGAACGAAUUGGGAAGGGCAAUGAUGGUGAUGGUGAUGGUGAAGGGUUGCAGCCUCCUGAGACAACACAUGAACCUGUGACAACCCAUGUAUCAAAGGAAGGUGAAGAUGGAGAAAAGAACCGCAACCGGAGUGAAAGUAAGCGGACUCUAAAGCCGUCUUCUAAGGUGCUUUCUAGAGACUUUGUCGGAAAUUGUAGGGGUUAGGUGUCUAAGCUUAAGACACCUGAUUUGAAUCUUGUGAAGUGGAUUAAGAUGGGAUUUUCCGGGACUGGCAGUGGUCCUGUGCUGUUGGAAUUGAAUGUGAAGGGGAAUAUGCUAAUAAUAAGGAAUGUUGCUAUAAUGUUCUUCAUUGUCGCCAAAGGGUUGGUACGGAGUAUGUAUCUGUGGAGUCUAAGUUGUAUACUAAGGAAUGGGGCAUCAAGUAUGAGGGGCACAACAAAAGGAUAAUGCUGCAUCCUGCACUUGCGAUUAAGCAAGUUACUGACAUGGAUGACGCUCCCACUCUUGCCAAAAAAAUGGGCAUCAUUUGCGCGGUGUGGCUUGUACCCAAGUUUCUGUGAUAUUUGUCCCUAUACUAAUGGAUGAACAUUUGGUGGUGUGUUGCCUUCUCCUUCAAAGAACUGAAGAUAUGGUUGAUCGACUCGAUGUACUCUAACCAUAUUAAAAAACAUGAAGCAUUCAUAUCAAAAUUGAUAAAUGCAAUGGAGGUGUUGAUAAACACCCAUGACAGUAGAUGGGUACAGGGUACCUUUGGAGGGUGGCCUGUUGAAAGCGUCGAAAUUGUCCACCAACUAGAUAUUGUUAGUUGUGGAGUUAUCAUGCUAGCUUGCAUUAGGGCUAGCACGGAUGGUUUUCAAACAAAGUAUCAAAUGGAAGGAGGAGUUGAUUCACAGGACAUGGAAUUUGGUCGGACAUAGUUUCUUAUUGAGGAUCUCCGUUCAGUUUACAAUGAAAGACGGGACUUUCUUGAUGGCUUAGUUGUGUUGUAUGUGGCUUAUUGUAUGGGUUGUUGAAAUAUUUUGUAUAUUAUCUUGUUUUGAAUUACUUUGUGCUAAACAGUAAGUUAAUAUAGUGGCGGGGAAGGAGUGGAAACACUAAAGUGGUGGGUUGGUUUAAGGCAUUGAUGUUACAUUAGACUAACUUACUUGGUAUCGGUGGCAUACCAAGAUGACUAGAUGCUUUUGCAAUGCUUAUCAUGCUUAUUAUUAUGAUUUAGCAUGCUUUUUUGCAAUGUACAUUUGUAGAUCAUGGUUUAACAUGCUUCAUGUUUA